ensembl:lncRNA
GCCUUUUUUCCCCUUCUCUCCCCAAGCCUCUGGGCGCUGCUCCUCCUCCCUCCUUCCCACCGGCCCACGUGGCCACCAAACUCCUUUCCUGGUUAUUCAGACCUCUGGGCCAGCGCACUGCCUCAAGGAAGGCCUCCCAGACUGCACACUCCGGCCCCCGCAGUCCGCUGAGACCCCUCCGCCCCGGCGGCGUCUCCCAGCACCGGGUCCCCAGCGCCCAGCGCGGUCUGGCGCUGCAGCGGCGCCCGCGGGAGGCUGCGCGCCAGGGGAGGGCGCCUGGGCCGAGGGGCGAGGUGGCACCUCGAGGCCUCCGGCCCGAUCCCUGCCCAGCAGGGCGCCACCGGCCUGUCCCACACCCUCUCUGCCGCCUGCCCAGUGACCUAAUUAUUGUUUUUUCUUCCAGCCCCUGCGGAGGGGAAAAGAGAAAUUCCUGGAGGAUGACACAGGCCCGCCGCCGUGGGGACGCACGGGACCGGCUGGGCCGGCUGCGCCCCCGCCGCCGCCUAACUACAGAGCGCACCGACAUCGCCACGGCCGGCCCGGCCAGGCCUGUGGGCGCCCUGAUUCUGGGGCCGGGGGCCGGGGCUGGGGCGGGACUGCGGGUCCUUGGCACUGCGUUGGCCUGCGGGGGCAGCGCCUGGGGCUCACGGAGGAGGGCAGAGGGGGAGGGGUCCCUGCCCUCUGGGCAGGAACACGGGGCGCCCUGUGUUGAGGCCCUUGCCCUCAGCCCUCAGUCAUCGUGGGUUGUGCAUGUGGCUGCUCCCCAGAGCUAGGCCCCGGAAGGAGGCAGAGACUUGACACUGCGCUGGGCCUCGAUUCCCCAUCUGUGCAGUGGGCUGAUAGCGGGAGAGUGAGGUUUUACCAAGCUGGGGAAUCAAACCCAGGGCCUCCUGCAUGCUACGCAAGCGCUGUACCACCCUGCACACCCCCAGCCUGUAGCAGCUAACAGAUGCCGCCCGCCUCAGCACUGGGGAUUGGACCUCAGGAUUGUGCUUUACAGGAAGCUGCCAAACCAUGAUUCAGAAGGGCUGUCCAUUUCCAAAGCAGUAAAGAGCCCUAAUGUUUGAACGUUCACUGGAGCAUCUGUAAAAGCACCAGGGAGAAUCCUGUUCCUCACAGGAAGCACAGCUUCUUGGAUUCCUCGAAGACAGUAUGUGACGCCUGCUUCUUUUCCUGACUUAAAAGAAUGCCUGCUUAUUGAGGAGGAUGUGGGAACUACUGAGAAGUACAAAGAAAACAGAAAUCACCUGUCAGCUCAUUACUCAGCGUAAAGCACCCUAGACACCUGGGUGUAUUGUACCCCAACUUUCUUUCGUUACAUAUUGUAUUGUUCACACACACAUGUAUGUGUGCACACAUGUGUGUGCAUACACACACACUUUCCCAUAACAUUAGAGCCUAGAGACUUUCUCAUGGCAUUAAACUUCUGCACAUCUUAAUUUAGAAUAAAUCCCACAAAUGGGAUGCACCGUAGCCUUACCCUACCACUCAACUUCUCUGUGCCUCAGUUUCCUCCUUUGUAAAAUGGGGAUGAUGAUGUUCUUUCCUCCUAAAGGUCCUCAUCAGAGCUCAUUGUGACCGGCAUAAGUGUGGUAGCCCUUGGACCAAGGAAUGAGUCUACCAGAAGUGAUCAGGUGAAUUUGAAAAAGACCACACAGAAUUUCAAGAAAUGACAAAUACAAGUGAAAUCCUAAAAAGUCAUGACAGAGCUGGGAGACUGAAGCCCAGGCUAGAAAGGGAGCUCCAGAAGCCAGAACAUGCGAAGGACAUUGUGCAUAGAAGAGAGCACAAGAAAGCAAUGCCAUAACUUUAUGACCCUCAGGGUCUUCUCCCAGUGUGCAUGGUUGGAUCUGUCCCAAAACAGAAUGUGAAGGGUUUGAGACCUGAACUGUGGGGUGGACCGUCUCCCAGGUCCCAGUCUGGCCACUUGUCCUGGACUCGUGAAACCCAGCCAGAUGGCACUGUGGAAAUCUGUGAAACUGAGCUGAUACUGGAACCAGAGCCCAUAGAAAGUGAAUUUUAGACUGGACCUCGCCUAGGUCUAUUGUCUGUUAAAAUCAAUCAAGAGAUUAAUAAGUCAAUAUUUUCCUUGGGGUUUAAAUAAGACCUACAGUCACCAUGAGUUCAAGGCCAGCCUGGGCUACAUAUCGAGACCCUGUUUUAAAAAAAAACCCAGAACAAAUAAGCAUACAGAAGAACCAAAAUAUAAUUAUAGAAAUAGAAAUAAAAGAACAAAAGAGUUGGAAGGGUUCAAGACCAGAAUGGAAGAGAUGACAGUAGAAGGAUAGAUCUACAGGAAUUAUCCAAUCUGAACCACAGAGAGAAAAAGAUUGAAAAAACUUUGAGCAGAGUCUCAGGAAACUAUGGAGCAAUACCAAAAUGACAAAUACUCCUGUCAUCAGAGUCCUAGAAGGUGUGGACAAAGCACAGUUCAAGAAAUAAGAAGGGAACAAGAAUGGCUGGAAACUUCUCAAAAUUACAGGCUCAAGAAACUCCUUAAAGCUGGAGUUUUAGCUCAGUGGUUUCGCCACCUGCCUUGCAAGCAAGGACCCAAGUUCGAUCCCCAGCACCAAAAAAAAAAAAAAAAAAGAAAAAGAAAAAGAAAAAGAAACUCCUUAAACUUCAAACAGUUUAAGUUCAAAGAUAUCCACUUCUAGGCACAUGAUAAUCCAACUUCCUUAGAGACAAAGAUAUCUCCAAAGUGGUCAGAGAAAAAUAGAACACUUGUUUGUCAGUAUCUCACCAGAAACCAGGGAGGCUAACAGGAAGUGAAACAGUAUUUAUGAAGUGCUAGAAGAAAAGGACCACCAACCUGCAGUUCUAUACCCAGUGAAAAUAUCCUUUAGGAAAGGGAAUGAAAUAAAGGUAUCCUGACAUGAAGGAAAGCUUGGAGACUUUGUCACCAGCACACCAGCACACCUUUGUUUCUAAAACAAGUGGUAGAGGAAGUUCCUCCCAUGGAAGAGAGAUGACAUUAGAUCGAAAUGUGGAAUGACAGGAAUGAAGUGUGAAGGACAGAAAUGAUAAAUGUCUGAGUAAAUGUUCUGUUUCUUGUAUCUAAAAUAUGACUGAUGGUUGAAAACAAAAAUUCUGACAUUGUUUGAUGAGGUUUUAAAUGCAGACUGAAUGUACAGUAUAAAGAAAGGAGGACAGAUGGACUUCAGUGAUGAGAAGUAUUCCAUAUACCACUGAAAUAGUAUUUAUCCUAAGUAUUUAUACUAACCGUGGAAAGUUAAGAAUGUAUGUGAAAAGCCCAGAACAACCACCAAAAUAUUUUACAAACAGAUGUAGUAAAGAAUACAAUCAACAAAAUGUAUAAAUUAGACCAUAGAUAUGUAUGAUGAAUAAAACAGUAUUUUAAAUUGUACCCCUCCCUCCUGUGCAGUACUGGGGAUUGAACCCAGGGCCUCAUCCAUGCUCGGCAAGCACUCUACCACUGAGCUGCACCCCCACCUCAGAGUAUUUAAAGUUUGGCACCAUCUGCAGUUUCAGGCCUCCACAGCGGGUCUUGGAAGACAC